GAGGGAGUAUUCUAAUUGGUUAAGGAGCUUACUUUGGGAGUAAGAAGUUGCACGUUCGAGUCGUGUCUCCCUCA
rnacentral:tRNA from 2 species